CCACUCUCCCCUCUCGUCCAACAGCCGCCACCCCCAACCCUCUCGCUCCUUCUCAAUCUCUCGAUCCCCAACCACCCAGCCGCCGCCGCCACCGUCCUCCUUCCUCUUCCCCAACCCCGGCCGCCGGCAACCCCUCCCUUUCCCUACUCUCCCACGGCCGCGGUCGGAUCCGCGCUCCCCCUCGCUGAUGACCUAGACCUAGCCGCAUGGCACGGCCAUGGCCAUGGCGGCGGGCAGAUCCACCCCCUCCCCUGCUUUGUUCCCUCGACGCCUGGCGGUCAUCCCCCAUUAGGCCACCCGCAGCAGCUCACCCGCCCCUCCUCCUACUCCCCGACGCCGACGCGCUCGUUCCCCGCCUUCCCCCGCCUGAACCGCCUCCUCCUCCCUGCCGAUCCUUCGCUUCCCCGUGGCCCUAGGCCAGCGCUUUCGGUUUCUCGGCUCCCGUAGGCGAUUCCAGCAUGGUGGUCGUCGGCUCCGCGGACUCGAAGAUGAAGACGGAGGUGGAGGAGAGCGAGCUGGCCGAAGGCGAGGCGGUUCCAACCUAGCCGCCGCAGUGGGUCACCAGCACCGCGUCUCCCUCACCUCUGUCGGCCGACAGCACCAAGGGUUGCUUUCCUCCUGCCUUCAUGCGUGCCAGCAACCGGGACCUGCAGCCUCCACCACCGGUGUCGGAAUUACGUCAGGGCAGGUACAGUGGUGCUGCUGGUUCCUUGAGGCCGGGUCGAGUUGAGGUAGGGGAUAGGAAGGUUGAGCCGCUCGGGUGCUGAUCAUGUACAUCGGCGCUCCUUCCGGGGACCCAACUAAACCAAUUAUGCAAGGCUUCUCCUGCUGCUGCAUGUCUUCAUCAACCUAGUUCUUCCACAGGGAGAGAUCUAAAUCCUUCACUUGUUCACUGUGUAAUCUGCAGAUUACUUCUUCCAUUAAUCACCUAGUGCUCCUGUUAGUGACAUUCAUCUAGUAUUUUUUUUGCAAAACAUGCAAUGGUUUGGAGUAGUUUAUCAUGGCCUGAUGGAAACUUCAUGUUGUUAGCAUGUAUAUAUGUACUACUACAGCAGCCAGAAGCAAUCCAUUUUAUUAAAUGCAUCAUCUCAUUACACUAGCUACCCCAACUUGUUUGGGACUAAAGGCUUUGUUGUUGUUGUAUUCAUCUCAUUACACUAGCUAGCACAAUAUAUUAGUUAAGGCAACUCUACUACAUAUCAAUUUCCCCUACUGGAUUGGUUCUAUAUUUUUAAAUUUGUUUCGUGGUGCAUGAGCCCAACCUAAAGAAAUAUAGGCUUAUGAUGACUAUUUUCCUUCUUAAGUAAUCAUAGUUGUUGGCUUCGGUAGCUUGCUGAAUAUGUUGUAGUUAUAUAUAGAAAUGACGUGCCUUCUAUGCUUAAAUGAUUGUUUGGCUCUAUAUAAUUGUUGACAUGAAUAUCUUGACUUCCCAAACAAGUAUAGGAUUGUACCUAUGCAUACAGAUUAUCCUAACAAAACUGAAAAUAAAAAUUGAAGCAUGAAAUAAGCAAAUAAGUGGCUGAUUUUUAUUUGCAUGUUAAGCAGAAAUUUGUAGAUAAGGCUUGUAUAUUACGAAAUAUUGUCACACCUCUGAGCUUCUACUGUUGUUAGGGACAUCGUAGUGUGAUCUUCAUGAUUUUUCGCUUGAAGAUGUACUGAUUCAUUAUUCAAGCAGAGACCAAAGUCAUCUUUUGCUACUGUUAGCUCUAUGGAUGUGUAUUUGCCUGCAACUUCUGCCAGCUCUAACUUGGUUAUAUAGCAGUUCAAUUCAGUCAAUCUGUUGGAACUAGUUUGUAUAUUACUUGUAUACGAUUUCAUAUCCUGCCAUAUGCCAUUGUCGACUUUCUUAGGUACAUAAUUGUUAUGUCUUGCAAUCUGGUAUUGAUGAUUGUCAAUGUAUUCAUUUAUACCUUUCUAGUGUACCUUGUAUGUGACCCAGCUGAUCUGUAUAUCAAUGCUCUAUUUCCAAUAGAUGUAUGCUGAUGCCUGAUGGUUGAUUCCUUAAAACUUCACUGUUUUAGCAGUAGCAUUUUUCCUUAGUGCAUAGAUGUAUGAGCGAUCACUUAUGCUUGAAACCUUGCUCUCUUUCCCAGGAACCAUCGUGGUCUGUAUCACUACUGGGGCAGGAGAGGAAGGACUGUUGGUGUCUCCAAGAAGAGAUAAACUGCUUCACAAAGAUCCCCGCAUAGCUUCACUACUACUGUGUUGGUCCAUUUCCAGAAUCUUAAGGAGUGUUCUUGUUUAGACGAUUACCUUGGAUGAUGCUUUUGCUUAAGGAGAGGCUCAAGAAGAUCAGGGAGCUCCGCAUCCGAGUUUCAGCCAUCCUCUACAGCCAGGAGCUCUGGGCCAAAGGAGCAAGCAGCACUGCAAGUUCAUUGAGGCCAGAUCGAGUAAGAUGGCACACCAUGGCGUGUGGUGGUGUAUUUUGCUUUCGAGAACAGUACUGUUUAUUUGAAGUGAGAUGUACUCGUCUAGUGGCUGGCAAAAAAUUGAAGGAUGAAGUGUCAUGUACUGUCUGUUGUAGUGAGCUGUUGUAGGAGUGAAACGAAAAUUUAUCUGCUGUUGUAUGUGCUAUUUCCCUGUAAUGUCUUGUGUACAUUUUACUUGAACAUUAAAUUCUUCAGAAAAAAUGUUCUUACUGGA